rnacentral:misc_RNA from 1 species
GCUUGCUGAAAGCAGUCGUUAACUCUCCAUUCAUCAUCUUCAAUGUUCUCCAAUUCACAGAAGCGAGAAGUCACACCCGAUAACGUCUCAUCAUACCCGAAAUGAGGCACUUUCAAAGUCUGUGCUUCCUUAAGCACAUUAGAUACCGCAUCCAACUCAAAUCUGCUGCUGAUGAAUAUCGGUUCAUUAUCUCGCUCCAUAAGC